rnacentral:rRNA from 1 species
CGCUUCAAGAUGAGAUUUCCAUACACCUCGUGUGUGAGAGGCCCCCAGCCAGACCACUGGGUUGAUAGGCCGGAUGUGGAAGACAGGACUAAAGACUGUUGAAGCUGACCGGUACU